rnacentral:rRNA from 1 species
UACGGAGGGUGCAAGCGUUACUCGGAUUUACUGGGCGUAAAGAGCUCGUAGGCGGUUUAGUAAGUCUGGUGUGAAAUCCCAUGACUCAAUCAUGGAAGUGCAUUGGAUACUGCUAGACUAGAGUACAGGAGGGGUGAGCGGAAUUCCAGGUGUAGAGGUGAAAUUCGUAGAUAUCUGGAGGAACAACGGCGGCGAAGGCGGCUCACUGGACUGUAACUGACGCUGAGGAGCGAAAGCGUGGGGAGCAAACGGG